AGGUCGUAACAAGGUUUCCGUAGGUGAACCUGCGGAAGGAUCAUUAUUGAAUUGUUUGUUUGGAUUGGCUUAAAACCCCAAUCCAACAUCCAUAUCCACAACACCUGUGAGCUGUUGGAUGACCCCUGCUCUUUUGAGCAUUGGAAGUCCACUUUUAUACCAAACAAUCUGUAACGAAUGUAGUCUUAUUAUAACAUAAUAAAA
rnacentral:misc_RNA from 1 species